GUUGGGAACUAGAUGUGGGGACCAUUCCACGGUCUCCGUGUCGCAGCUAACGCAUUAAGUUCCCCGCCUGGGGAGUACGGCCGCAAGGCUAAAACUCAAAGGAAUUGACGGGGGCCCGCACAAGCGGCGGAGCAUGCGGAUUAAUUCGAUGCAACGCGAAGAACCUUACCAAGGCUUGACAUAUACCGGAAACGGCCAGAGAUGGUCGCCCCGCAAGGUCGGUAUACAGGUGGUGCAUGGUUGUCGUCAGCUCGUGUCGUGAGAUGUUGGGUUAAGUCCCGCAACGAGCGCAACCCUCGUUCUAUGUUGCCAGCACGUUAUGGUGGGAACUCAUAGGAGACUGCCGGGGUCAACUCGGAGGAAGGUGGGGAUGACGUCAAAUCAUCAUGCCCCUUAUGUCUUGGGCUUCACGCAUGCUACAAUGGCCGGUACAAAGGGCUGCGAUACCGUAAGGUGGAGCGAAUCCCAAAAAGCCGGUCUCAGUUCGGAUUGGGGUCUGCAACUCGACCCCAUGAAGUCGGAGUCGCUAGUAAUCGCAGAUCAGCAACGCUGCGGUGAAUACGUUCCCGGGCCUUGUACACACCGCCCGUCAAGUCAUGAAAGUCGGUAACACCCGAAGCCAGUGGCCUAACCCC
rnacentral:rRNA from 1 species